AUGGGAGGCGUUUGGGAGGAUCGACUAGGAAGGAUCGAACGACACCUGGAGAAGACCUGCACAAGGGUGCCACCAAGAUCUCCAAGGACGUCCUCGACUCUGCCGGACAACAGAUUCCUUUACAAAUUCGAAGCCAGAACUCAAAAAAGGAAGGGCAAGGAAAUGAAGGGCGCAAGACUACUAGAGGCAAAGACAGGCGGACGCGGCCGGAGCAGUAUGGUGGCGUCGAUGGGUGUGGAGGAGUGUGUGAAGACGCUACAGAGCACCGCUGAGGAGCUUGUCAGCAGGACGAGCUGCUCCCGCUGCUGCAUGGCAACCCAGCCGGAUCUGCCUCGACAGGUUCGAGCCCUCCGUCACUGGCCCCGUGCACAUCUGGCAGGGUGUUGGGAAGGUGAUCAAUGUGAACAAGAUGGUCAGGGCCAGAUGGAGAGUGAAGAUCCUAAUAGCGGACCAGAGGCCGACUUGGCAAGAUCAGGGAGCAGCUGGACCACGACAAGGACGUCGGCGGCGGCUUCUCCGCCAUUACAAUGGAGAGCUAUCCAUGAUAUGUAUGGGAGCAAGGGAACCGGAGGUGCUAGAUGCAGGCACUAA
rnacentral:rRNA from 1 species